AACGAACGCUGGCGGCAUGCCUAACACAUGCAAGUCGAACGAGACCUUCGGGUCUAGUGGCGCUCGGGUGCGUAACGCGUGGGAAUCUGCCCUUGGGUUCGGAAUAACAGUUGGAAACGACUGCUAAUCCCGGAUGAGUACGUAAUACCAAAGAUUUAUCGCCCAGGAAGGAGCCCGCGUAGGGUUAGCUAGUCGGUGGGGUAAGGGCCUAUCAGGGCGACGAUCCUUAGCUGGGAAGUGAGACUGAUCAGCCACACUGGGACUGAGCCGCGGCCGAGACUAUUACGGGAGGCAGCAGUGGGGAAUAUUGGAAAGUCGGCGAAAGGCUGAUCCAGCAAGGCCGCGUGAGUGAUGAAGGCCGUAGGGUUGUAAAGCUCUUUUACCCGGGAUGAUAAUGACAGUACCGGGAGAAUAAGCCCCGGCUAACUCCGUG
rnacentral:rRNA from 1 species